rnacentral:rRNA from 1 species
GACGAACGCUGGCGGCGUGCUUAACACAUGCAAGUCGAUCGGAAAGGCCCUGCUUGCAGGGUACUCGAGUGGCGAACGGGUGAGUAACACGUGGGUGAUCUGCCCUGCACUUCGGGAUAAGCCUGGGAAACUGGGUCUAAUACCGGAUAGGAGCCAUUUUUAGUGUGAUGGUUGGAAAGUUUUUUCGGUGUAGGAUGAGCUCGCGGCCUAUCAGCUUGUUGGCGGGGUAAUGGCCUACCAAGGCGGCGACGGGUAGCCGGCCUGAGAGGGUGGACGGCCACAUUGGGACUGAGAUACGGCCCAGACUCCUACGGGAGGCAGCAGGGGGGAAUAUUGCACAAUGGGCGCAAGCCUGAUGCAGCGACGCCGCGUGGGGGAUGACGGCCUUCGGGUUGUAAACUCCUUUCGCUAGGGACGAAGCUUUUUGUGACGGUACCUAGAUAAGAAGCACCGGCUAACUACGUG